rnacentral:rRNA from 1 species
GAUAGUGGACGUUACUCGCAGAAUAAGCACCGGCUAACUCUGUGCCAGCAGCCGCGGUAAUACAGAGGGUGCGAGCGUUAAUCGGAUUUACUGGGCGUAAAGCGUGCGUAGGCGGCUUUUUAAGUCGGAUGUGAAAUCCCCGAGCUUAACUUGGGAAUUGCAUUCGAUACUGGGAAGCUAGAGUAUGGGAGAGGAUGGUAGAAUUCCAGGUGUAGC